rnacentral:rRNA from 1 species
AGAGACAGCAGUCGCCGCGGGAAAACGGAGGGGGCUAGCGUUGUUCGGAAUUACUGGGCGUAAAGCGCACGUAGGCGGCUUGGUAAGUUAGAGGUGAAAGCCUGGAGCUCAACUCCAGAAUUGCCUUUAAGACUGCCGAGCUAGCAGGUGAGAGAGGUAAGUGGAAUUCCGAGUGUAGAGGUGAAAUUCGUAGAUAUUCGGAAGAACACCAGUGGCGAAGGCGGCUUACUGGCUCAUACUGGACGCUGAGGUGCGAAAGCGUGGGGAGCAAACAGGAUUAGAUACCCCUGUAGUCCCUGUCUCUUAUAC